rnacentral:rRNA from 1 species
AGUGAACGCUGGCGGUAGGCCUAACACAUGCAAGUCGAACGGCAGCACAGGAGUGCUUGCUCUCUGGGUGGCGAGUGGCGGACGGGUGAGGAAUACAUCGGAAUCUGCCCAGUCGUGGGGGAUAACGUAGGGAAACUUACGCUAAUACCGCAUACGACCUUCGGGUGGAAGAGGGGGAUCGCAAGACCUCUCGCGAUGGUGUGAGCCGAUGUCGGAUUAGCUAGUUGGCGGGGUAAUGGCCCACCAAGGCGACGAUCCGUAGCUGGUCUGAGAGGAUGAUCAGCCACCCUGGAACUGAGACACGGUCAAGACUCCUACGGGAGGCAGCAGUGGGGAAUAUUGGACAAUGGGCACAAGCCUGAUCCAGCCAUACCGCGUGUGUGAAGAAGGCCUUCGGGUUGUAAAGCCCUUUUGUUGGGAAAGAAAUCUUUCAGGCUAAUACCCUGCGAGGAUGACGGUACCCAAAGAAUAAGCACCGGCUAACUUCGUG